AAACCAUAAAGAAUGCAAAGACGAACAGACAAACUACGAUUGUAUCUAUUUUUUUUACAUCGACGAAACCAUUAACGUACAGAAUAUGUAUUUGAAGUGUUUUUUCUUUGAGUAGAAAGCAUGUAGGACUGUUAAAUUUAUGCUCAAUUAUUUUAAGGAAGAGGAAGCAAUAAAUAAAAUUGAUUUUCAAAUGAUUGGUUUGUUGAGUGGGGUGUUCAAUAAAAGUCGAUAACUAUAGUUGCCAGCAUAAGGAUAUUACUUUGGACGUAUGUUUUUCAAGGAAUAUAGAAACA